GACAGAGGGGGCAAGCGUUGCUCGGAAUUACUGGGCGUAAAGGGCGCGUAGGCGGAAUGGCAAGUCGGUCGUGAAAUCCUUCGGCUCAACCGAAGAACGUCGAUCGAAACUGCCGUUCUUGAGGAUUGCAGAGGAGACUGGAAUUCCCGGUGUAGCGGUGAAAUGCGCAGAUAUCGGGAGGAACACCUAUGGCGAAGGCAGCUCGCUGGGACGGUACUGACGCUGAGGCGCGAAAGCGUGGGGAGCAAACAGG
rnacentral:rRNA from 1 species